AAGUCGUAACAAGGUCUCCGUAGGUGAACCUGCGGAGGGAUCAUUAAUGAAUGGCUCUCUGAGCCUUCAACCUUGCAAACCAGUGGAAGCAAUGCGUGCUUCGACGCCUCGGCGUCGCUUUUAUGCUACAAUCAGUUAUUUGUGUCUGAAUCAAUCACAAGAAAAUAAAACUUUCAACAAAGGAUCUCUUGGCUCUCGUAUCGAUGAAGAACGCAGCGAAGCGCGAAAUGUAGUGUGGAUCGUAGAACAUUGUGAAUCAUCGAAUCUUUGAACGCACAUUGCGCCUCCAGUAACUUGGAGGCAUGCCUGUCUGAGCGUCAUUUAAAACCAUAGACCCGAAAGGGUUUGUAUUGGGCAUCGCCGUCCGGCGUAGCCUCAAAGACAUUGGUCUUACAUGCGGACGAGCUCCUUUAGGACAGACCGUGUCGAGACUUUAAACAUCUGACUUGACCUCAGAUCAGGUAGGACCACCGCCUGAACUUAAGCAUAUCAAUAAGGCGAGGAACAGAAACCAACAGGGAUUCCCCUAGUAGUGGCGAAUGAAGCGGGAAAAGCUCAAGUUUGAAAUCUGGCGGGCUCGUCCUGUCAGAGUUGUAAGCUGAAGAGGCAUCGACCGGCGUCGUCCGGGCCCAAUUUCCUUGGAACAGGAAGUCAUUGAGGGUGAGAACCCCGUCUGCGGCUCGGAGCCUUCGUCCUUGUGUCGUGUCCUCGAAGAGUCGGGUUGUUUGGGAAUGCAGCUCAAAAUGGGUGGUAAAUUCCAUCUAAGGCUAAAUAUUGACGAGAGACCGAUAGCGAACAAGUAGAGUGAUCGAAAGAUGAAAAGUACUUUGAAAAGAGAGUGAAACAGUACGUGAAAUUGUUGAAAGGGAAGCGUUUGGCAUCAGCCCAUGGCUUUCGUCGAUCAUUCGGGCUUCUGCCCGAUGCACUCGACGGAUGUCGGGCCAGCGUCGGCUCUCCUUGCCGGAGAAAGGUCUUGGGGACGUGUCUCCCUUCGGGGUGAGUUAUAACCCUUGAUGUCAUACGGCGAGGUGGGGCCGAGGUCUGCGGUUUAUCCAAGGACGCUGGCGUAAUGGUUCCAAGCGACC
rnacentral:rRNA from 1 species